GGAUGCAAUCAUUCCAGCACUAACGCACCAGAUCCCAUCAGAACUCAGAAAUUAAGCACGCUUGGGCGAGACUAGUAAUAGGAUGGGUGACCCCCUGGGAAGUCCUCGUGUUGCAUCCC